UACGUAGGGUGCGAGCGUUGUCCGGAAUGAUUGGGCGUAAAGCGCGCGUAGGCGGCUAUUCAAGUCAGAGGUGAAAGCCCGGGGCUCAACCCCGGAACUGCCUUUGAAACUAGAUAGCUAGAAUCUUGGAGAGGUCAGUGGAAUUCCGAGUGUAGAGGUGAAAAUUCGUAGAUAUUCGGAAGAACACCCAGUGGCGAAGGCGACUGACUGGACAAGUAUUGACGCUGAGGUGCGAAAGCGUGGGAGCAACAGGG
rnacentral:rRNA from 1 species